GCUGGGUGCAGUGGCAUACACCUGUAAUCCCAGUGACUUGGGAGGUAAAGACAGGAGGAUUGCAAGUUCGAGACCAGCCGGAGCAAUUUAGUGAGGCCCUGAACAUUGUAGCAGGACCCUAUCUCAA
rnacentral:sRNA from 1 species